rnacentral:rRNA from 1 species
AUUGAACGCUGGCGGCAGGCCUAACACAUGCAAGUCGAGCGGAUGAAGGGAGCUUGCUCCUGGAUUCAGCGGCGGACGGGUGAGUAAUGCCUAGGAAUCUGCCUGGUAGUGGGGGAUAACGUCCGGAAACGGGCGCUAAUACCGCAUACGUCCUGAGGGAGAAAGUGGGGGAUCUUCGGACCUCACGCUAUCAGAUGAGCCUAGGUCGGAUUAGCUAGUUGGUGGGGUAAAGGCCUACCAAGGCGACGAUCCGUAACUGGUCUGAGAGGAUGAUCAGUCACACUGGACCUGAGACACGGUCCAGACUCCUACGGGAGGCAGCAGUGGGGAAUAUUGGACAAUGGGCGAAAGCCUGAUCCAGCCAUGCCGCGUGUGUGAAGAAGGUCUUCGGAUUGUAAAGCACUUUAAGUUGGGAGGAAGGGCAGUAAGUUAAUACCUUGCUGUUUUGACGUUACCAACAGAAUAAGCACCGGCUAACUUCGUG